AUUGAACGCUGGCGGCAUGCUUUACACAUGCAAGUCGAACGGUAACAGGCCGCAAGGUGCUGACGAGUGGCGAACGGGUGAGUAAUGCAUCGGAACGUGCCCAGUCGUGGGGGAUAACUACUCGAAAGAGUAGCUAAUACCGCAUACGAACUAUGGAUGAAAGCGGGGGACCGUAAGGCCUCGCGCGAUUGGAGCGGCCGAUGUCAGAUUAGGUAGUUGGUGGGGUAAAGGCUCACCAAGCCAACGAUCUGUAGCUGGUCUGAGAGGACGACCAGCCACACUGGAGCUGAGACACGGCCCAGACUCCUACGGGAGGCAGCAGUGGGGACUUUUGGACAAUGGGCGCAAGCCUGAUCCAGCAAUACCGCGUGCAGGAAGAAGGCCUUCGGGUUGUAAACUGCUUUUGUACGGAGCGAAACGGCUCUGGUUAAUACCCGGGGCUAAUGGCGGUACCGUAAGAAUAAGCACCGGCUAACUACGUG
rnacentral:rRNA from 1 species